CAAACGAAUACCUCUGUUGUUGAUUAAGGUAGCAGGAAAGCAGGAAAACUACAAAGGACUCCAGAAGUCAUCAUUUCUCCCUACGAUACCAUCGAGGGUUGUAAUAUGGAAGGCCUGCUAUAAAGCAAAUGCUUUAGAUACAUGCUGGGACAUCGCCAGUUAAUCAAACGAUACCUAUGUGUUGAUUAAAGUAGCAGGAAAGCAGGAAAA